UGGCUCAUUACAACAGCCAUAGUUUAUUGGAUCUUAGAGUCCUACUUGGAUACCUGUGGUAAUUCUAGAGCUAAUACACGCAAUCAAGCCCCAACCUUACGGGCGGGGCGCAUUUAUUAGAACAAAACCAAUUGGCUUCGGCCAUAGAUUGGUGAAUCUGAAUAACUACGCUGAUCGCACGGGCUUGUCCCGGCGACGUAUCCUUCAAGUGUCUGCCUUAUCAACUUUCGAUGGUAGUUUAUAUGACUACCAUGGUUGUAACGGGUAACGGAGAAUAAGGGUUCGACUCCGGAGAGGGAGCCUGAGAAACGGCUACCACAUCCAAGGAAGGCAGCAGGCGCGCAAAUUACCCACUCUCAGAACGAGGAGGUAGUGACGAAAAAUAACGAGACAGUUCUCUAUGAGGUCUGUCAUCGGAAUGGGUACAAUCUAAACCCUUUAACGAGGAUCUAUUGGAGGGCAAGUCUGGUGCCAGCAGCCGCGGUAAUUCCAGCUCCAAUAGCGUAUAUUAAAGUUGUUGCGGUUAAAAAGCUCGUAGUUGGAUCUGCGGUCACAGACGCUGGU
rnacentral:rRNA from 1 species